UCUGCUUUGUAGUCAUUCUGCUUCCAGUACCCCUAAAGUCUCUCACACAUCUAUAAAAUAGUUCAGAGUUUAGAAGCUGUUGCUCCCUGUAACCAACUUUUGUGUGUGCAGGGAGCAAAGUGGCCAUGCAGCUCCAUCACUCAAAUGCCUUCUCUGAACACCUGUUUGCCCUAUAGGGAGGCAUUUGGUUUGUGCUUCUCUGUGACAGAGGAGAUUCUUUGCUUACUUUUUUUGUUUCUGCAAGGACUAGACCCAAACUAAAUCUUACCAAAGCUGACUCUUGCUAUUUUGUCUUAAAGUGCCUUUCCAGGAGCAACUUCAUUAUCUAGGCAUGGUUAUGUACAGCUCAUGGCACCAUAACAACACCUCUCAGUGUAAAGGGGGAGAGCUUUCCCUUCUGGGCACAGAUGGAGUCAAGAGACUGAAUGAACCAUCCACAUCUUGCUGCAUUGUCUUCCGUGCUCUGUCAGCCUCUACAUCAGAAAAGCCAGAAGAAAAUGUGGUGAAAUGCAGACCCUCCGUGUGCCACAGACUGCUGGGAAUGACAGGACACAUUCUUCCAGGGCUGCCUAAUGACUGCUCCAGAAGAAAAACAGGAAGAAGCAUAAUUUUUCCAAACAUGACAUCUUGUUGAACAACAGAUGGGACCAGAGAAGCUCUAUCCUACUUGAAUACAGGGUAAUUUGAGUCUACAUAGAGAAAUUAUGUCACUCUAGUACUUCUGAGUUACAAAUUUGGAAUACUCUGGUUUGGAGAGAUACUUGAAUCUUAAUGCAAAAGAGUGAUGUAAUGAAGCAGACUUCCAUGUGCACACACUAAAGCCUGGCUAGAUGCAUGUGUGCUUGCGAUUAGGAGCUGCCAGUCCUGACCUCUGCCUUCCCUGAUGGAUCAGGAUCCAUUGCUCCCUACCGCAGAGGGCCAGCAGAAGACCUCCGUGCAAUGAAGGGUUGUCUUGGACAUUAAUCCAUGGAAGAGCAACAAACCAAGAACUAUUUUUUUUGAUGGCCAGCCUGGAAAUCCCUGCAUCACUGAAGAAGUAGUAACGAUUGUCUUCUGGGUGGAUAGACAUGGAUUUUUCACAUUGGUUUUCCCAAAAGAUUUCUUUUCAACAAAAUUAUUAUUCUCCUCCUGAAAAUGCCUGUUCUGUGAUAUGGAUAUUUUAUACAUAAUAAUCAUUCCAGGAAAAAUUCCUACCCAGCAAGUCUAUUCAAUGCCUUACUUUUUUUCCUUCUUUGAGUUUUGUUUUCCAAAUGUAAAUAUUAACAGUAAUUUCUAAGGCUCCCAAGGAGAUUCCCAAGUUUAAUAAAGCCUGUGUUGUGAGUCUUUGCAGUAAUACAUUUCUGCUUGUUUGAAAAUAUAGUGCAAAACAACUGAGGGCCAAGGAAUGCAUUGACACAAAUUGGGGAUUUCUGCAAUACCUGUGUGGGUGUUUAAGGGGGAGAACACAGCUAACAUGGUUAGUACAUAUGCAUAAUAUCUAGUUUGUUUUCCUCUCUAUUUUCUCUCUGCUACUCUAUCUUUCUCUGUCUCCUAAUAUUUUGUCAGUGUUUUGUUUAUU